AAUAAAUCAGAAAAAUAAAAGAAAUAGAAGAAGCCUCUUAUUUAGUAUACUCGUUUAUAGAAUAAGAGACCAUACGUGUCACGUAUUCCUUGGCCAAACAGAUUAACGGAAGAAAUUUUUUUUUUUUAUGUUCGAUCGAUUUUUUCUUCCUCUUCCUCUCCCUCUCCCUCUCUCUGUCUCUCUCUCUCUCGAUCCAAGUCGCGAAGAUGUUGGGGUCGGAGGAUAUUUUUGAUGAUCGAUUGAUUUUUUCCUUUCUCUUCCUCUCUCUCUCUCUCUCUCUCUCUCUCUCGAUUGAACUCGGAGGAGAUUAAAUUCGGGGAUUUCCCUUCUCGGCUUUUUGAUUCCGUUAAGAUAACAGACAGGAGAUGUGAAGAAAGCUAUUGUUCAGAAAACUGGAUUGGAAUCUAGUGAAGUCAAGAUCUUGUUCAGGGGAGUUGAGAGAGACGAUCCUGAGCAAUUGCAAGCUGCUGGUGUUAAGGAUGCCUCUAAGCUUGUCCUCGUUGAGGAUCAGAACAAGAGAGUGGAACAACAACAACAACAACAAGUUGAACAACCUCCUGUGGUAACUGAAGAGACGAAGAAGGCGAUUGCAUAUCGAAGAACUUGCUAAGAUGAUACCAAGAGAGAAGCUUUCUGAAGACAUCUUCACAUCCUGCUGCAAUAUUAGCUUUGAGAUGUCCACACAUUCUCCAAGUAGAAAUUUGUUUGAGUCUUUGAUGGUUAUUGUUUGGUUUGAAAGCAAACAAAACUGUAAAUUGCAUCUUUUCUCUUAUUUUUUUUUUGACAUCUUGUAAAUGCCAAACAACAAGCUAAUUGAUGACAUGUUGUCUAAUUGCUAAUUGUUAAUAUGUUUUUAUGUUUUCUAUGUUUAAAAAUUUAUAAAAUGCAAUAAUUUCCCUUUC